GUGUGAGGAGUCAGUUAUGUCACAGAGGUACAAGGCUGCAUAUCAAGGAAGGCCUGUGCACCUCAACAGCCGUGAGGAAGCUGGCUCCCAAACCAGGGGCGCUGGCUUGUGCUACUCUAUCAAUACUGGAACCUCACUGGGACUCUAAGAUAUCCUGUGUCAUGAAGCUCCUGCAGCUUUGGAUCUGUAGGACUGGCCCUAUUACAUACUCCAGCAGUUCACAGCUCUGAACUCAAAUGUCAGCUAUCACAUGGCACCCGGGAUGCUUCUGAAUGUAAAGAAGCAAGACUCUUCAUACUUCUCCGAGGUCAGCUUAACCAGGUGGUGCAUCUUGCUCAAGCUGGCAUCGAACUUGAGAUCUUCCUGCCUUAGCAUCUCAAGUGCUAGAAUUACAUGUGUGCAUAACCUCACCUGACGUCAGCCAGCCACCUAAUGUUCACAGAAGGUGGAAGGCCCAGUCCAUUGCAGGUGGUAUCAUCCCCGGGAAGCUGGUCCUGGCUUCUAUAGGAAAGCAGGCAAAGCAAGCCAUGGGGAGCAAGCCAGUAAGCAGCACUUUUCCGUGGCCUCUGCCUCAGCUCCUGCCUCCAGGU